rnacentral:rRNA from 1 species
CUACGGGGCGCAGCAGUGAGGAAUAUUGUACAAUGGGGGGAACCCUGAUGCAGCAACGCCGCGUGGAGGAUGACGCAUUUCGGUGUGUAAACUCCUUUUAUAUGUCAAGAAAAUGACGGUAGCAUAUGAAUAAGCGCCGGCUAACUCCGUGCCAGCAGCCGCGGUAAUACGGAGGGCGCAAGCGUUACUCGGAAUCACUGGGCGUAAAGGACGCGUAGGCGGGUUGAAAAGUCAGGUGUGAAAGCCUACAGCUUAACUGUAGAACUGCACUUGAAACUCUCAAUCUAGAGUAUGGGAGGGGCAGAUGGAAUUAGUGGUGUAGGGGUAAAAUCCGUAGAUAUCACUAGGAAUACCUAAAGCGAAGGCGAUCUGCUGGAACAUUACUGACGCUAAGGCGUGAAAGCGUGGGGAGCAAACAGGAUUAGAUACCCUGGUAGUC